rnacentral:rRNA from 1 species
CGGACGGGUGAGUAACGCGUGAGCAACCUGCCCUUCGGAACGGGAUAGUGUCUGGAAACGGACAGUAAUACCGUAUAACGUAUUUUUACCGCAUGAUAGAAAUACCAAAACUGAGGUGCCGAAGGAUGGGCUCGCGUCUGAUUAGAUAGUUGGUGGGGUAACGGCCUACCAAGUCGACGAUCAGUAGCCGGACUGAGAGGUUGAACGGCCACAUUGGGACUGAGACACGGCCCAGACUCCUACGGGAGGCAGCAUG